AGAGUUUGAUCAUGGCUCAGGAUGAACGCUAGCGGCAGGCUUAACACAUGCAAGUCGAGGGGCAGCACAGGUAGCAAUACUGGGUGGCGACCGGCAAACGGGUGCGGAACACGUACGCAAUCUACCUUUGUCUGGGGUAUAGCCCGGAGAAAUCCGGAUUAACCCCCCAUAAUAUAUUUGAGUGGCAUCAUUUGAGUAUUAAAUCUCCGGAGGACAGAGAUGAGCGUGCGUCCCAUUAGCUAGUUGGUAGGGUAACGGCCUACCAAGGCGACGAUGGGUAGCUGGUGUGAGAGCACGACCAGCCACACGGGCACUGAGACACGGGCCCGACUCCUACGGGAGGCAGCAGUGAGGAAUAUUGGUCAAUGGACGCAAGUCUGAACCAGCCAUGCCGCGUGAAGGAUGAAGGCCUUCUGGGUUGUAAACUUCUUUUACCGGGGAAGAAAACUAUGGUUUCUACUAUAGCCGACGGUACCCGAGGAAUAAGCACCGGCUAACUCCGUGCCAGCAGCCGCGGUAAUACGGAGGGUGCAAGCGUUAUCCGGAUUCACUGGGUUUAAAGGGUGUGUAGGCGGGCUGUUAAGUCAGUGGUGAAAUCUCCAGGCUCAACCUGGAAACUGCCAUUGAUACUAUCAGUCUUGAAUAUCGUUGAGGUGGGCAGAAUAUGUCAUGUAGCGGUGAAAUGCAUAGAUAUGACAUAGAAUACCGAUUGCGAAGGCAGCUCACUAAGCGUGUAUUGACGCUGAGGCACGAAAGCGUGGGGAUCAAACAGGAUUAGAUACCCUAGUAGUCC
rnacentral:rRNA from 1 species